UUUUUUUUUUUUUUUUUAAGAAAUAAAUAUUUGGCGCCCACUCAUCAGUCCAAUAACAAUGACAAGUCCUAAGACCCCAGCAUUUUUAAGGUAUACCUCUGACAAAUGCUCACCAAAGACUCUGGCCAAGUCUAUUAUUCUAGAUCUUUUUGAUCAACUGCAGCUGCCUAAGAUUCCAUAAGCCUGGAAAAUGGGAUACAUUGUUGCUCAAUUACUGAUAAGGCCGACUAUAAACCAGUGGCAAGAAAGGCUGGUUUCAGAAAAGCUAGUUUCAUAUACUGCUUUGCUUCUAAGAACUGGAGAAAACUUAGUAACUAGCCAAACAGCUUCAUUCAAAGGGAAAGAAACCCAAGGCCAAAGAAGUGAUUCACCCCAAGCUUUACUGUUUAUGACUUAUGAGAACCUCCAGGUGCCUAUGGCAGAUAACAUGACUUGCAGUUCCCCCCAGACAGUUCAUUGUCCAUAAUGCAUGGUGGCUAACACAUUUGGGGGAUUUUUAUGUGGGUGCCCAAGCUCACAGUACCAGAACUAGCAGCUCUGUAGUCUGACUAGUUAUGACAGCAGAGCGGAAGCUCCGCCCGGACUUCCCAGGGAUGAAUUCAGGCUCUCGCACUUUCUACUGAUGUGACUCUGGGCAAGUCACUUAACCUCUCUCUGCCUCAGUUUUCUGAGCUGUAAAUCAAGGAUUAUCAUAACAUUUCCCUUAGGGGCUGGGGUGAGAAAUGAACAAGAUAAUGGAACAUAAAGUGUUCACUCCGCACGGGGCCCUGCACAAAAGCAGUACUCAAAAAAUGUUGGCUAUUACCGACAGACACGAUGCACACCAACAUUUAUGCACGACACACAUUUGACUGGUUUCGUCUAGAACUUUGUCAAACUUGGCUAAUUACGAUCGCUGGGAAAAAUGAGAGAGGGAAUUAACGGUUCUCUAGCAGGGCUGGGAAGACCGAACCCGGCAGCUUAGAGAGAAAAGAUCCACCUUAUGACCUGACCUUGGAAGCCUUCCUGCCCUUCACGCUGAUGUCAACUGGGCUGGUCAACAAGAAAUGAAACUUCCUGGGCCCCUACUACGUGCCAGGCACAGCGUGAGACCCUAUCUCUUACUGGGUGAGGAAACAGGGUGCAAACACUGGGCGUGUGGAAAGCGGCGCGCGUGCUGAGGCCGUGCUUGGGGCACCGCCUGCCUUCCUGGCUUUACGGCUUCUUCCUAAACUGCGGCCUCCGAAUUGAGGCUGUAGGUACGGGAGGCUCUUCCUUCAAUUUCGGGACAGCAGCUCAGGGGACAGGAGGACACAAGCCACGUGCCUCGGGGCCUGAAUUCACUUCAGAAGCCAGACGUCCCCAUGGAUACUCGGGAACCGGACAGACCCCCGUGGGAAGGUUUGCUGGUGGCUUUGACCUUGGUGCCUGAGACUCAGUUUCCCAUUCUGCCGGCCGGGGGCGAUGACCUAGCCCCUCAGCCAAGCCCACCUGGCUAACGAAACAUGGAGUGACUGACGUGGGAGCGCUUCGGAUCCUCACGUUCCUAGCUCUUCAGGCUCUCCCUUAGUUUUGCAUGUGCAUGUCAAUGGUAACGAGUGAGGUAUCUAUCCCAAAGAACCGAAAGCAGGGACUCGAACAGACAUUUGUAUGCCCGUGUUCAGAGUAGCGUUAUUCACGAUGGCGGAAAGGUGGAAGAAGGCCAAGUGUCCGUCCACGGACGAGCGUGGUCCAUACACACGAUGGAAUAUUGUUCGGCCUUCAACAAGAAGGGGAUUCUGACACCCUAUAGUGUGGAUGCACCUUGAAGUUCAUCCGUGAUGCUGAGUGAAGUAAGCCGGUCGCAAAAGAACAAACACUGUGAGAGUCCACUUACGUGAGGUUCCUAGAGCAGUCAACUCACAGAGACAGAAUCAAUGGAGGCAAAAAACCAGGAGAUCCCAUAAAUCCCGUCGAGCUCGUCACAGCUGCCAAAUUAGGCCCUGAUAAAGCUUUUGGUGGCUAACGAUAUGGCCGUUCACCCGGAGUGGAUGCGGCCGGGAGGGAGGUUUCUGGAGAGCGUCUGGCCCACGGUGGAGACACUUGUCAUGAAGCGUUAUCUGAAGGCCCUCUGGCCCUAAUGAAGGGUGAAGCUUUGAACGUGAUUAUUUCUAAACAAAUAAAUAAUAAGGAUAACUUAAAAAUAAACAGAGAUCUCGAUUUAAAGGCUACUUAUUGUCUCAGGACCAAGAUUAACAGUGAGUGGCAAGUUUUUGUGAGAGAUAAUGUCUUUUCACAUAUAAAAGAUCCUAUUGAUUUCCUGUUGGUAUUAUCCCGAGAAUGUGCAAUGUGCAUCUAUGGAGCAGAGACAAUCUUCCAUCACUUGCUUUAUGGGAAGAGAACGGUUAUUGUAUCUCUUCCCAUAAAAUAUAAUCUCUUUUCCUCUUCCCCCCCAAAAAAAAAAAAAAAAAAAUCAACCUGUUCCUCUGGGAAUUUCCAGUUGUAAUCUGGGGAAGUGAAUUGAUUUUUUUUCUUUUCUUUUGCAUGUGCCAGGAUUUUUAUAUUUGGCUUCUUUGCAUUUUCUCAUUGUUCUCUGGAGUCUGGCCUUUCCAGAUUGUUAUUUGAGCCCGUCUAAAAAUUCCUUUAAAAUCAGUGCCAUUGAAACACACGUGAUGGUGGAUGUCAGGUUCCCUGUGGCUUGCUUAGAAGGGGUGCCCCUCCUUUAUCCUCCAACCGGGGGCUGGUGUGAGUGCCUGGGAGGGCUUUGGAGGCAAUGAGAGCUUGCCUAGUGUGUUGCAACAGGAUAAAAAUGCAAAAAAAAAAAACCCCA